rnacentral:lncRNA from 1 species
CAUGGCUCUGUUGGUCAUUCCUCAACGACUGGGUACUUUGAACCUUCUGAUUCACAGAACAUGGACGAGGUCUCUUAGUGCGGCGAACAACACAACGCUAAUGCCAAAGAUGACGACGAGCCUGAGCCCGAGUAACAACAAUGGGGAAGAGGAAGAUGGUCAAGCCUUGAGUGAGGACAACGACGGUACGCCAAUUGGCCCUCUCCAUCCAAGGGGGAUGAUGCUAAUGUCAUAAUCGAAACGGGGGCUGCAACAUUGUCUCGUGCCCCACGUGAGUAAACAUAAUUCCAAUUUGAAUCAAGAGAAAUAAAGAUUACAAUUGGAAUCAUGUUUUCUAAUUUAUUUCAUGGGAAAAAAACUUUCUUAGAAAUUUUUUAUAUCCAUUGAAUUUAGCAUUUUUUCUCAA